CCUACGGGAGGCAGCAGUCGGGAAUAUUGCACAAUGGGGGAAACCCUGAUGCAGCGACGCCGCGUGAGUGAAUAAGUAAUUCGUUAUGUUAAGCCCUAUCAGCAGGGAAGAAAAUGACGGUACCUGAGUAAGAAGCCCCGGCUAACUACGUGCCAGCAGCCGCGGUAAUACGUAGGGGGCAAGCGUUAUCCGGAUUUACUGGGUGUAAAGGGAGCGUAGACGGCAGUGCAAGUCUGGAGUGAAAGGCGGGGGCUCAACCCCCGGACUGCUCUGGAAACUGUACGGCUGGAGUGCAGGAGAGGGAAGUGGAAUUCCUAGUGUAGCGGUGAAAUGCGUAGAUAUUAGGAGGAACACCAGUGGCGAAGGCGGGUUACUGGACUGUAACUGACGUUGAGGCUCGAAAGCGUGGGGAGCAAACAGGAUUAGAUACCCGAGUAGUC
rnacentral:rRNA from 1 species